rnacentral:rRNA from 1 species
UUCCAAUUGGAACGCUUUUGGAUGAGUCUGCGGCUCAUUAGCUUGUUGGUGGGGUAAAGGCCUACCAAGGCAACGAUGAGUAGCCGGCCUGAGAGGGUGAACGGCCACACUGGGACUGAGACACGGCCCAGACUCCUACGGGAGGCAGCAGCUAAGAAUCUUCCGCAAUGGACGCAAGUCUGACGGAGCGACGCCGCGUGAACGAUGAAGGCGGAAACGUUGUAAAGUUCUUUUCCUGAUGAAGAAUAAUGAAAGGAGUGGAAAGCCUUUCAGAUGACAUUAUUCAGGGAAUAAGCCCCGGCUAAUUACGUGCCAGCAGCCGCGGUAAUACGUAUGGGGCAAGCGUUGUUCGGAUUUAUUGGGCGUAAAGGGCGCGCAGGCGGUUUAACAAGCUUGAUGUGAAAUAUCCCGGCUUAACUGGGGAGACGCGUUGGGAACUGUUAGACUAGAAUUUAGGAGGGGAAACUGGAAUUCCUAGUGUAGGGGUGAAAUCUGUAGAGAUUAGGAAGAACACCAAUGGCGAAGGCAAGUUUCUGGCCAUAGAUUGACGCUGAGGCGCGAAAGCGUGGGGAGCGAACAGGAUUAGAUACCCUGGUAGUCCACGCUGUAAACGAUGUGCACUAGGUGUAGGAUAUUGAAUAUAUUCUGUGCCGUAGCUAACGCGUUAAGUGCACCGCCUGGGGAGUAUGCUCGCAAGGGUGAAACUCAAAGGAAUUGACGGGGGCCCGCACAAGCGGUGGAGCAUGUGGUUUAAUUCGAUACGCGAGAAACCUUACCAGGGCUUGACAUUGACAUGACGGUCUAAGAGAUUAGGCUUUCCUUUCGGGGACGUGUUAACAGGUGCUGCAUGGUUGUCGUCAGCUCGUGUCGUGAGAUGUUGGGUUGAGUCCCGCAACGAGCGCAACCCUUAUUGUCUGUUGCCAGCAUUUCGGAUGGGGACUCAGACAAAACCGCCGGUGACAAACCGGAGGAAGGUGGGGAUGACGUCAAAUCAUCAUGGCCCUUAUGUCCUGGGCUACACACGUGCUACAAUGGCAAGUACAAAGCGUUGCGAGAAGGUGACUUUAAGCUAAUCGCAAAAAGCUUGCCUCAGUUCGGAUUGGAGUCUGAAACUCGACUCCAUGAAGUUGGAAUCGCCAGUAAUCGCGCAUCAGCAUGGCGCGGUGAAUAUGUUCCCGGGCCUUGUACACACCGCCCGUCACACCAUC